rnacentral:lncRNA from 1 species
UCACACCUCUAGUAAUUUGUAAUUCGAGUCACCUAACCAUAUCACCUGUUGAGUCAGCUGACUAUGCACCUGACUCUCCUCUUCUCGAGAUUGAAUCUCGGAUUCCACUCCAGCACUCAGUGACAUACUCCAUCGUCGCAUCAAGUGCCCCUUAUUUUGCUAAGACUCAGUGUGCCAAACCUAGUCUACCUCAAGGCCAAAGCCCCCUUAUUUACCCUUUAUUUAUUAUGAUGCAUUGAUAUCUUCUGAUAAUGGAUUUAGGGCAAUAAUAAAUAGAGCUGGGGAGAUGGGAUUUCCUUCAAGGCAUCUUCUAUUCACAUUGAAAUUAUACUCUUCUCUUUAAUAAAAGGUAUCAAGGUCACAGAGACUUACUGCCACCCUUCUUAUAGACAUAUCUCCCAGCCCGGCACUUUUAAACUUUUGAUUAUCUAUUCGUGUGGUAUACUGGCGAAUGCCUUCAUAAAAUCAAUCGCGAAAAUACUACAUUGAAAUUUUGUUUCAUUACCUUUGCAUUCGAAUCCUUAAUCUUUUUGACUAUAUCCUCCAUGACUCUACCUGGAACAACCCCUUAUUGUGUCAAGUUUAAAAUAUGAGGCAAAGGCUUUCUUAAUGUAAUCCUUAAGAUUCCAUUAUAGAUUUUAUAGGAUAUGUUAAGCAUAAUUAAAGGCCAAAGGUUCUCUAAAAAUCUUAAAUCCUUAUCCUUUUUAGAUAUAAGAAUUAGUUUUCAUACAGAAAUGUGUCGCUCAAAAAACCCUUAGAACUAAAAUAGGUGUAGUAUAUUUUAUAUAAUAUUCCAUAUUCCAGAAAGUUUUAUUUGAGGUGAUGGUAGUGUUACCUCAAAUUGCGUAUGGCUGAUGGCGUUUGGAGGAGUGUUCACAAUUUUUGGGGUCAGAGGUGUGGUCAAAGUGCAAGGUGCCGCUGAAUAGGUUAAUGAGGAUGCUAGUUCUCCACGAUUUUCACAAUGAACAAAAUUAUUGAACAAAGAGUUAAACUUAAAUUUUGUGUUGCAAACGAAAUUUCAUGUGCUGACACCUUGAAAAUGUUAGAAAAAGCCUUGAUGAAUCAGUUUUAUCAAAAACCCGUGCCUAUGAGUGAUACAAAGUGUUCAAGUCAAGUCUAGGUGAUGAUCAUUAUUUUCUUCGAUAUCAACGGUCUGGUGCAUUAUGAAUUCGUGCCAAAAGGACAAACGGCCAAUAAGGAAUACUAGUACUGAGGUUUUGAGGAAAUCCGUCAAAAAUGGCCAGAAUUAUCGAAAAACAACUCGUGGAUUUUACAAGACGAUAAAACUGCCAUCUCACAUUGCCACUACUGUGAGCGAAUCCAAAGCCAAAUAAACAAUAAAUACCAUCCAUCAACCACCAUAUUCACCUGAUUUAAAUUCGUAAUACUUUUACUUGUUCUCCAAACUUAAGUUUCCACUCCGUGGAAAUCGUUUUGAGUCUAUUGAAUCCAUAAAAAAAUUCUUGGAAGGAGCUGUAGGCCAUGACAAAAAGUGCCUAUAAAGAUAUUUCAAGUACUGGAAAAAACGUUGGCAUAUGUGUACUGUAUCAAAUGAAGAUUACUUUGAAGGUAAAAAAAUAAAUUUUAAUGAUUAAAUGUGAAAUAACUGAAGUAGCAGUACCAUUAAUUAAGUCGCCCAAAAAUGUACCCAAAUGUCAAUAAAUUUUAUACUUUACUCUGUCUAAAUAUGUUAGAAUAAAAAUGCCAAUACAUUUACGAAUUCAAACCGCAACUAUCAAAGAAAAAAGAGUAGUUUCUUCUACUUUCGGAAGUCGAAGCAUGUGUAUGCGAAAUAAAUUCUUUUUCGGCUAUUUGAUAUCUGUUACAAGGGGGAGGCGAAAUCUUGUGACGUAACUGUUCUUAAAGGCUCUGGUUUACAGUAUCUAGCGAAAUCUUGGUGCUGGAUCCCUCUAAAAAAUUUAUAAAUGAAACUGCUGGAACACAAGAUCCUCUAGGUAGGAUUCAGUUCUUCUUUUACAAACUUUCACUUUUUUGAAGUCAUCUAGUGUCCCGUGGAGUUCGCGAAUCGACUUUUUCAGAGCAGUAAAUGAACACCAAAAUGGGACAUGCAAUUAUUAUUUUAAAUCCUAAUCAAUAAUUACACUUAUUCAAUUUAAUUUCACAAAUACAACAAACUAUAUUUCAAAGCAACCUUUGAUAUCUCAUUCUGAUGCAACGGAGAAACUGGACUAUUCAGAACCAGUUCCAUUGCAAUGAUUUUGAUUAAUUGAAUACUGUUAUCCAUAACUUCAACAUUGUCCUAUUUAUAUAUUCCCAAAAACAGUUUGGUCCCAUCGUGAUGUUGAAAAGAGAAGUGCAUAACGACAGAUGGCUAUACUUGUGUAUUUCCAUUCAUAUAUAACCACAAGACCUAUGAUAUUUGUACAACGGAUUUUAAUAGGGAAAUGCCAUGGUGUGCAACUUAUAUGCCUUAUACUCAUAGAUACUGGGGUUAUUGCCCACAAAGCUGUUUUACUUGCGGUGUUUCAAAUUCUGUUACGAGGUCGUGUAAUGAUGGUGUCAAUAGAUAUGCUACUGACUCAGAUAUUCCAUGGCAUGCCCUUAUAAAGAGAAAAAAUAGUCAAAGUGAUUUUUUUUUGCAGUGGGGUAAUUAUCAGUGAACAGUGGGUUUUAACUACUCAUAUCGGUAUCGAUAAAUUAAAAACACAAUAUAUAGAUUAUUUAGAAGUAAAAGUUGGGAAUAAAGAUAUGAAAUCUUUGGAACAUGUACAGAUUUUAAACAUUGAAAAAAUAACGAAACAUGAAGAUUAUAAUGAUUGGAGUAUAAGAAAUGACAUUGCCUUAGUAAAGACUAAAAGCAAAUUCAUCUUUUCUCAUUUGGUUCUUCCAAUAUGUUUGAAUGUAGAGAAAUCAAAAAUAAAAUUUGGAGCAACAGGAACAGUGAGCGGGAUUAAGGGUGAUAAUAUGGACUAUUUAUUAAAAAGUGGUGGCGUGACGAUUUAUGAUAGUAUUGAGGGUCGAUGUUCUUACCCAGGUGUAUUUUGUACAAAACAUAAUACAUAUAUUGAAACUCUUUAUUCUGGAGCCUCUGUUUCAAUGUGUCUCAAUAAUAAAUGUGCUCUGGUGGGUCUGCUGGCAACAGAUCAAUUACUAACUAGUACCCUUGACACUGACAUUUACCAUUUUACGGACGUUGCACACUUCAUACCUUGGAUUUAUAGGAAUACAAUAUAAAUUGAUUUGAAACGACAACAUUUUGAUGUAUUUUUUUUGAUAAAUAAAGGAUACCUUAGA